CCGGGCCCGGCCCGGCGAGGGGCUGCGGCCGUGCGCCUCCGCCGCGGGUGCGGGGAUCCCCUCGCCCCCGGCCACGGCAUCCCACGGACGCGGCGCUGCGUUCGCCGCGCUCCGAUAAGCUGCUCCGGGUGUCCCGGGCCAGCCCCGCCAUCGGCAGGCGGCCCCUGGGCGAGGAGGGAAGGCAGGCGAGGGGAGCGGGGCGCUGACCGCCCCGCCGCGGUGCCCACGGGCCUGUCGUGCAGCCCCGAGCAGUGUCCCGGCCUUCACAGCGCCGGCUGGUGACGGCGGGGAGGCUGCCUCUGCGCCCUCCCUUGCCCCCGUGCAGGGGGCCGGAGGCCCGACCGCUGUUCCCUGCGGCCGUCGGGAUCCCUCAGCGUCUGCUCGGGCCACGAGAGGCCCUCGGGAAACAAGCAGCCGGGCUGUGCACGAAGCGGGCACGGUGUGACCAAGCGGGGCCGGGCCUGCAGGCUGGGGCCGAGCGCGGGGCCUGGCUGCCCCGAGCUCUGAGGAGGGGGCUCGCCGCCCCGUUCUGGGUGCCGGCCCCGUGGGCAGGCUGGCAGCGUGCGCUGACACAGCGGGCAGCUGCUCCCUGCUGUGGUGACGCGAAUAGAAAGUCAGUGACAUCCCGUUGCUGGAUGACAGGCCGGGUUGGGCUGCCGGCGUGGUCCUGGCUGCCUGCAGUCCCUCUGGGGCUUGCAGCCUCCUGUAGGGGGAGAGGGCUCGUAGCUGCCUGUAACUGUUCCACCGCUGUUUUCUCCGGGGGGACUGAUGCUAUGGGCCUAUUAUUCUUCUCUUUCAAGGAGACAAAGGGUGUCUUCCUUUACCUCCAAGCUGGAUACUUCAGAGAAAAAGAUCACCCCUGCCGUUCCCCCAAGACACAGGAAAACCAGAGGCAUAGAGACCUACAAUCAAACCACUAUAUAGAAGUAAAUACUAGCUGUAUAUGGACAUCUUUGCCAAAGUGGUUGAGGAGCAGAGCUAGCUACUUCCUUUUCAGAAUCCAGCUAUAUCAAAUAACAUAGCUUUAGAAGGAUUCAGAAACAUUUGCCAUGGGCAAGGAAACAGAGUGACAUAAUGAAUGUGAUUGAACUGAAGUGUGGACAGCAAUGGGGGAACGCAUGGCCAACAGAGCUGGAUAUGACUAAAAGUCAUUGCUGCAUGCGAGCACGAACACAGUAUCACAGGAACAGAUAUGCUAAUUCAUUUUAUGUACAUAUGUCAUCUGUUGAGGAUGGAUGUGUGUGUUACCACUGUGCUGCUGCUUCCAUGUUUUCUUGCACAUAUGCACUCCCUACUCAGUUAACAUGAUGUGAUAGGUGACCAGCAUAAGAGCAGUGCCAGAGUUAGUCUCAGAUAAAGCAGAUGAUAUAUUAGCUAGGCUGCACUUCCAGACUGCGUUGGGAACAUGUUUGAUAUUCGUAACUGUUACUAGCAUCCAUGUCUACUCUGUGGACUUAGUGUGAUGCAAUCUCUAUUACCUCCCUCAGAUACCAAGAUUUUGGUAACUGUUUUGUCGAUAGAAAAAUCCUGUAGGAUUCUUGAUAAUAAGAUGCACUGUGUGUGGUACAGCAGAGUGGAGGAGAGUGACUCAGUCUCUCCUGUCAUUUCGUUUGCCUGCUGGCUCCUCAGUGACCGUAGAUUGUGCUUUCUAGCUCUUAGUUCAUAGUUGCCCAUUCUGAAAUUGAUGAGUCCGCUCUAAGAUUUUAAUUUCACUAUACUGAUGUGCUGUUCUAACCUGUAAUUCUUGAUAAACUGGAUUGUUGUUUUGCUUAACUCUUGCCAGCAUCUAAUAAGCUGGUGGCAUAGGGUUUUUUUUAGUGUGGCUUGGAACUAUUUGGCCCCAUUAAAUUGGAGGCUAGAGUUACAGUGUGGAGGGUUGUCCACUGGCUACUAACCUGGUUCUUCAGUGCUUUGCAGCUGGUUGCUUGCUGCUCUUAUUAAGGUGCCGGGAGGAAGCAGAGUCUUCUUCUGUAUGUUAAUGACAAGAUUGUUUUGCAGCCAAAAUUGUUAUCGUUUCUGUGUUUAUAUACUAUUUACAUACAGAUAUGCUGAUGUAUAGUUACUAUGCUCUGUUGUUCAGUGGGCGAAUUUCAAACUGAGCCACAGACUUCACUGUCAGGUAAUAAACUAAGUUAGUUGGAUUACUGUCGAAUACUA
ensembl:lncRNA